UAUUCCCGCUCAUCACUGAAUAGAGGAUGAGUAGCAUUCUUUGCCUCACCCUCUGAAUUGCCAUUCAAAGCACGGUAGGAAUGCUGGGAGCUUACUUUUUUUCAUUUUUACCCUCAUUUUUCAUCGUCAUCAUUUAUGCAGUUUCAACUACAGCCUCUACAUUUUUUACCUUCUCCAUUUAUAAAGCCCUAAACACCAUUGCCCCUCACCAAUUUUUUCAAUCUUUUCCUCAUAGGAAUCGAGAUCGUAGAAAUUUCUCAAAUAAGGGCAAAAUCUUCAGCAAGGAAAAAAAUCUAGACUCAAUUGAAGAACACAUUAGCUUCUGGUUUUGAUUUCAAAGCGAUUCAAGACAAGGUGUUUCAGCUUCGAGUGAGUUUUGUGAAGGAUCCACAAAAGCAAUAAGCAAUGUGGGAUGAACAACAUGAGCUUGCUGCUGAUAAAAUUUACGUUAUGUGUUAUGAUCUUGCAGGAUAUAGCACAUUUGUUCUCGGGUUCCGGAAAUAGGAUAAUGCUUACAAAAAUCGAAUGGAUAUACCUUAACAUAUGUUCGUAUCUAAAUUAGGUUCACCAAGCAAGAUUGAGAGGUGAUAAGAACGAUGUUGUUGUUAAGGUGCAACAUUCGGGAAUCCAGGAUCUUAUGAUGACUGACAUUCAAAAGACUGAUAUCAAAUUUGAUAUGUUUUCCAUUACCAAGGAAAUGAAAAAACAGGUAUUUGUAUUCACACUGUUGUCCCUUGCAAAACACAUCUAUCAUUCUUUUAUGUAUUUUUCAGAUUAUGUAAAUUAAGAGUAUCGUACCACUCGAAUUUGGAUUUCUUUGUUCUUCUGCAUGUCGUUAAUUAUUUAUCCUUUGUGUUGUCAAAAUCAAAUAUGAGUUUGACUUUCUAAGAAAAGCCAAUGCUAUGGAGAGAAUCCCUUGUUUCUUAUACGAGAAUAACAAAAAGACUUCCGUCCCGGUUCCGAGAGUGCUUUGGGGUCUGGUUACAAGGAAAGUUCAUUUUGUUGUAAUUCUUCGUAUUGCCUGUACAUAUUUGUCCUAGUACUGUCAAGGAUACGUGGAAUAGAUGUUUGAAAAUGCAUUACAUUUUGUAGUUUAGGACUUGGUGUUGACAAGCAUAAAGCUUGUACCGAUGUAGAUUCACUCAUUUUAUCUUUUCAUAUUUGUGUGCUUAUCAGCGAGUUAGUAAUGAGGUUUGUUAUCCA